rnacentral:piRNA from 1 species
UGAUGGCAAAUAUCAGGCUAACCUCUGGUGA